UCUACGGGAGGCAGCAGUGGGGAAUAUUGGACAAUGGGCGAAAGCCUGAUCCAGCCAUGCCGCGUGUGUGAAGAAGGCCUUCGGGUUGUAAAGCACUUUCAGUGGGGAAGAAAGCCUUGGGGCUAAUACCCUCGAGGAAGGACAUCACCCACAGAAGAAGCACCGGCUAACUCCGUGCCAGCAGCCGCGGUAAUACGGAGGGUGCGAGCGUUAAUCGGAAUUACUGGGCGUAAAGCGCGCGUAGGCGGUCUGAUAAGCCGGUUGUGAAAGCCCCGGGCUCAACCUGGGAACGGCAUCCGGAACUGUCAGGCUAGAGUGCAGGAGAGGAAGGUAGAAUUCCCGGUGUAGCGGUGAAAUGCGUAGAGAUCGGGAGGAAUACCAGUGGCGAAGGCGGCCUUCUGGACUGACACUGACGCUGAGGUGCGAAAGCGUGGGUAGCAAACAGGAUUAGAUACCCUUGUAGUC
rnacentral:rRNA from 1 species